rnacentral:lncRNA from 1 species
UCAUAAAUUACUUUUUUGGGUGCAUCGAUAUUUGACCAUAACUUUGCUCCCAUAGUUGGUCCACGCUUCCUCUUUAGGUCGAGAACCUAAAAAAGAGAAAGAAUCAAGAUAUAUGAACUAAACAAAACUGAAAUAUAACAUGAUUUAUAUAUGUAAAAGAGUUUGUAAAUAACACAAAGUUGCAUCUCAAACGACCAUAGCAGUCCACAUCUUCAGUCCAUAAAUUUACAAACAGUUUAGGCACAGUUUUAGACCAUAACAUGAUUUAGGCACAGUUUUAGCUAUAAAUUUACAAACAGUCCAUAAUAGAACUUAAAAGAAACCUUUAGCAGUCCAUAAUUCAUAUAGCAGUCCCAAGCAUCUAUGUUAUAUACAUUAUCACAUCAUGUAGCUGUUAUAUAUAGUCUAUAUUCAUGCUUUGGAACACACAAAUGUAAUGUCUUAUGCUUUUGACAAAAAAUAGUCCAUUUCUAGGCUUUUUAGGUAUGGUUUAGUGCUAAUAUCCACGUAACAAACUUCACAACUAAGUUUCAGCCAGUGUUUGGUGAUCCACAAUCCAAUUAUCAAUUCAAUUGUAUUAGUACUGGAAUUAAUAAGAGCCCUAAUUUCAGCAGUGCUGAUCAAGAACAACUAACAAACAGCUGUACAACUAAUAAUCAGCUUGCAGGUGUUCCUUCCUUGUUCAACAGCCAAAAUAUUUCCAAGUAAGAAGGUGCUUUGUAAGUAAGAAGUAUAAGUGUAGAUAUAUAUACACUUCAGGUGCUUUGUUCAACAGCCAAAAAUAAUCCAUUUCAGGUGCUUUGUUUUUGCAAGUAAGAAGUAUAAGUGUAGAUAUAUAUACGCAUGGUACCUUCAUGACAAUGCAAGUAUAAGUGUAGAUAUAUGCAUGGUACUUUCAGCAUUCUCAUAAAUGAUUUCCUCCUCUGCAUGUGGUUCAUCGGCAUGGAUCUCAUUAUCAUUAAUUUCCGGGCCAUCUUCCCUAUUAGCACGAGAUCUAGACGUUCUAUUAGAAGCCAUUAAAGCAACUUGAGAAAAAAAAUAUGAAUUCAGAAGAGUAAAGACUGUCAAUUCAUAAUUGAUAGACAACUGACAUUUAUGUCUAACAGAAAGACACCCUUUAGAAAAUUACCUAAUUCUCAUAAUCAUAUCAAAUUUUUAGAUGCAAAAUAGAAAAUAGACUAGGCUAAUUAGAUGUUGUCUAGAAGGUAAAUAAAACAACAAGCUGUAGAGAUAUAUAUAGAGAUAUAUAUGUGAGAAUAAUUGAAGGAAAAUGGCCAGUAAUAUAUUAAACGUGGUCUCCAAAGUAGUAAUAUAUUUACUAAUAGUACAAGGAGCAUCAAGAUAUAAUAUCAGAAAUAGAUCUAUCAAAGUGUAACAGUUUCUCUUUUGGAGAAAAUGGACAACGUGUAACAAGACAUGCGCCACAAACAACAAUAUGGAACUGAACAAAACGGAUUAAAAAAGGCAUGCGCCAUAGAUGCAAGGGAAAGGUAGGAUAAUUACUUGAAACAGGAAUGUUCCUGUGCUGGAUUGUCAAUACUGGCA